GCAGCUGGGGGGUGGAUUUGGGACAAAGUCUGCACCCACAACCCUGAACCUCUGGAUCCUGUGCAAAGGCAAGGUGUGUGGAAUAAACACCUGCUGUGCACCCAGCUGGACUCUACAGCACCUACUGUGUAUUCACACUCCUGCAGGAACCCGUGUUCUUAAAGAUGAAUAAUGCUCCGCCCCCCAUGCUGGGUCUUCUGGGGAUGAGCCACAGCCUGGAGGAGCUGAGGAGGCCACAUCACAUGAGGAAGCUUUACUGUUUCCCCUUCUCCUGAAAUGUGUCUGGGAUGGAGAGUGUGGAGAGUGGGCCCACCUUUAUCUGGGUCCACUCAGGCUGCUGCAGAGACUACCCCAGACUGGGUGGCUGAUAGACAAGACAUUCAUUUUCCACACUUCCUGAGACUGAGAAGUCUGAGAUGAAGAAACCUAGAAGCAAGGAAGCUGCCACCAUGAUGCAGCGGGGAGUCCGAGGCCCUGGGAGGUCAUAUGACUCAUUCAAGGUCAUCCUGCUGUGGCAGAGAUGCGAUGAAGCCCUGGCUUUGACCCCAACCCCAGGUGCCAGAGUCUUCCCUGCCCUGUACAGCCCUGCUCAUGCCAUGGUCUCCUGUGGACGUUCCCUCCUUCCCACGUUGGCGGUAUUGCUGUCCAAGCUUUGCAGGGGAGGAAUCUGAGGAAUUGAGAAGUCAAGUAACACACCCAAUAGGAUAACUAGGCCUUCUUGGCAGCCAACCUCGAAGCACCACAUCGGGCUUUGAAAUGUGCGGGGCCUUUGAGAUUCAGCGCAUCUGAAUCUGAAUUUAUGCCGUCUCACUUGCUGGAAUCUACUGAUCUGUCCACUGUUCCUGGAAGAAAUACUUUGUUUUCAUGUGCCAGUUGCCUUUCCAGCCUGACUGUCAGCCCAAGGUCGCAGAGAAGAUCUGAUUGCAUGUCCUUGAUUUUGCUGCUCCCAUUCCGAGAACCAGCUUCCUCCUCUGGAAGGUCGACUGAGGGGGGCUUGACUGGACUUGGCUCAAGGCUGCAAGUGGUCCAGGUCUGCUCUGUGUGUCUUUCAUCCUCCCCAACCAGUUAGAAAACGUGAUAUCCUCUUCUACGAUGAUGAUGGAAAUACAAAAUUGAUGAAAAAUGGAGUGAAUGAGACAUUAAGCCAGUUGUGCACCAUUACCCAGCUCGCAGCCCCAUCUCCUGAGGCCAGUUGCCUAGUGGAUGCUGGAGGCAGCAUUUGGACUCAGGCAGUCGAAUCCCAGAGCCCGAAUCCUGCCGUUCUCACUGUCAUCCUGGAGCUCCAGAGCCUGUGGUCACUCAGCUGGCAACCUCACAGGCAGGCCAGCCCCUCCCCAAGCUCAUUUUCCUUAUGGCCUUGCACUGACCUCAACUUUCUUGGACAUCAAAUGGACCCACUGGGCCGCUCCAGGUGUUUCCUUGCCUCCUCUUCUGAAAAUUCGGGACUGCCAUACAGACACCUCCCGGCUCUUCUGUGUGGUCAGGCGUGGGAGAGAGCGUUUGGAAGAGAAUCGAAUUUCCUUUCUGCAUCUGUGUGCUGGUGCCCAGUGCACCCUGGGACGCUAACGAACAGUGACAGAUGAGCUUCAAUUGGCUGGCGCGUGUGAGGAACCACUGGACCAGGCAAAAGAAAGCAUCAUCGGAGCCCAGCAAGGGAGGAGGAGAGAGGCUUUGCUUCAUGAAAGCCUGAACAGCAUCCAACCGAAACCAGCCGCCGCCGCCGCGCCCUGACGUGGUACUCUGCAGUUUUCAGAGUGCAUCGCAUCCAUUAUCUCCCCUGACCCGCAGACAGGCCGGCGAAGAAGGCUGAUAUGAGGUCACCCAGCCCCGUGCGUGCAGCCCCUCAAAUGCCUCCUGCGUUCCACCCCUUCUUCUCCAUUGCAUGGCCACUGCCCUUUCAAUUUCUCCCGGGAUUGUUGCAAUAGCGUCUCACUGUCUCCUGCUCCCAGCCCGCACCCUCCUGUGCCCCCUUGCUGAGUAAUCUUUUUGCACCGAAAAUUUGUUCAGCCUACAGAUGGUGUCACAGCCUCCAGUGGCCCCACCAGCUAUAGACUAAAGUCCCAACUCCCAUGUGUUCAAGGACAGCUACCCCUCUCUACAAGCCCCUUUCCUUGCAGUUUCCCUUGGAGGUGAUGAUGAGCUUUCUGAAUACACCAACCUCUUCUGGGGCCAUACCUCUUCUCAUGCCAUGAGCCUAGGCUGGACCUCUGGUCUCUUCCGUCUUGCUGACCAACCCUUAGGCUUCUUUAAGACCCAGUUCAGCAUCACUGACUUCAGGGGUCCCCUGCCCACCUGGCUGCCCAUGUUCCCAUGGAGCUUGUACCCAAGGCUGUUGUAUUCCUUACCAGCUAAUUGUCCCCUUGGUCCUUCCUGCACCCAUUCCCUCUUGUACUGCACUGGGAACUUGUCAAGCUGAGAGAUAGUGCUCCUCACUGCCAGAUCCUCUCCACCCAGUGUGGUUCAGGCACCUAGUAGCUGCUCAGCUGGCAUUGAUGAAAUUGAGUUUAUAGGUGAGGGCACCGAGGCUCAGAGCAGUUAAGGCUGGGGAGACGCCCAGCUGGUAUCCUUCUCCUGUCACUACCCCUCCCUGCCUCCCUGUUUGCUCUGGGGUCUCAGCAUCAUCCACAACCCACAUACCACUGUUCAGUUACCAAAGAUACCCCUGACUUGUCUCUGCCCAACCCUUCCUUCCUCAUCUUUUCUCCAUCAGCUUCACAACCUUGGACCAGCAAGGCCAUUGCAAUACAAGCCGAGGUUGGGAAGAGUGAGGCUCAGAGACCACAGAGAUACUUUGACACAUGGAAAAAGGCAAGACUUCCUUCCCAGGAGAUUUAUCAUUCUUCAAAAAAAUGGGGUUCUCAAAGAUUCAAGGUAUUUGCUAUUCAUGCUAUUCAUGCAAACACGCUUGCACCUUGGUGUUUUAUGGUAAGGAUUCUGGGAACCAUAGGGAAGACCAGAAUCUCCAUUCCUGACACCCGUGUACUGGAAGCCACUCCCCUCGCCUCUCCCAAAUUAAAUCCACUUGGAGCCUCAGAAUGGGACAUUUCUUGGAAUAAGGAUCUCAGUAGACAUAAUUAGAGUAAGGGAGAGAUGACCUCAUCCUGGAGGAGGGUGGACCCUUAGUCCAAUGACAAGUGUCCUUAUGGGAGACAGUAAGGAGAAGACACAUAGACACAGGGGAGAAGGUCCUGUGAAGACAAAGGCAGAAGCUGCAAUGAUGGGUUUACAAGCCAAGGAAUGCCAGGGGUUUCUGGCAUCACAGAAUCUAGGAGAGUAUCUGGAAUGGACUUUUUUUUUUUCCCCAAGGUCAUUGCUUACUUUUAUUUAUUUAGUGAUUUUUAUUUUUUUCCAUUACAGUUGGUUUUCAGUGGUCUGUCAAUUCUCUACUAUACAGCAAAGUGACCCAGUCACACAUACAUAUAUACAUUUUUUAUCACAUUAUCUUCUAUCAUGUUCCAUCACAAGUGAGUAUAUAUAGUUCCUAGUGCUAUACAGCAGGAUCUCAUUGCUUAUCCAUUCCAAAGGCAAUAAUUUGCAUCUGGAAUGGACUUUCAGAGCUUCCAGAAGGAACCAAUCCUGCCAACACCCUGAUUUCAGACAUCUGGCCUCUAGAACUGUUGAGAACUGUUACUUCAAGCCACCCAAUUGUGGUCAUUUGUCACCUAGGCACCUCUAGUAAGUGAAUGAAAUGGAGCAGUAUAAAAAUACAAGGGAAGCCCAGCAGGGCCAUCGGGACCAGGAAGUCGGGGGUCCUCACCCCUCGCCAUCACGUGUGGGUACCCUCUGCUUCUCUUCCUGGCACCUCUCAGCUCCUCUAUCACUCUGCUCUUCCAGCUGCCACCAGCCCGCCACAUUGCCCCUCCAGAGGUCCUCCCUUUGCUUAAGGCUCUGCUGCUGAGCUGUCCUGUGUCUAUCAGUCUGGGGUCUUUCCAUGUCUGUUACAUAUGCUAACCUGCCAACUCUCUCAUUAUAUUAAAAAUGUCCAAGAGAGGUGAGCUGAUGGUUGAGCUCACCACCAUCACCCCCCAAAGGGCAAAGCUUUCACCCCAGGCCAGCUCACAGGCAGCAGACCUUGGCCCUGAUCCUCCAGGCAUGGCCAGGGAGGUGGGCCAGGCAUUCCCAUCAGCACAGGGGGCCCUGGAAGGGCAGGACAGAUGCCUGGAAACAGUCCCAGGUUGGUGGCCCCUUCACUGCUGAGACUAAACUUCCUGCAGAAUUGAAGAAUAGGCAGUAGGAAGGCGAAAGGGAAGAAGCACUUUUUUUUUUUUUUCCAAUAGAAGAAGGAAAGUGUCAUCAAUAGAAGCUGUUGAAAAGUCCAAAUUGCAACCUUCUUGCCUCCUUUUGAUGAGCUGCCUUGAUGAGCUGUUUAGAAGAGCUCAUUGCUCUGGGUCAGCGUGACAGCUGUUGAUGACAAGGGGUAGGCGGGGAGAGGUUAGGCAGGAGGAAUAUGCGGCCAGGGCCUUGGCCAUGAUGGAUAUGCACCAAGCCUGUGCACCCCAGGUCUUUGCAAAGGGUCCAUGACAAACAGCCCAUGGUGCAUUGGGCUGUUUUACUGUAAUUCACUCCCCAAAUGCUUCUGGUGUGCAGCCCUGUGCUGAAGACACUGCCCAGACAUCCUCUCAUUUACUUUCUCCCAAGCUCCAGAGAGUGGAUGUCAGGUUGAGCUUAUGUAGUUCAGGGAUUGCAGAUGUGAACACCCAAAGUCCCAGGACCAGUACGUGAUGGAGUCAGGAUUCAAACUUAGGUCAGAGGAGGCUAGAGACAUGGCUGAGCACAGUGUAUGGUCCUUGGGGGCAUGAAGGAGAGCUAUAAAGGAUGUUAUGAGGAAUCCAGAUCAGAUAAUAGUUUUCUAUGGAGGUUAAAUUUCCCGAGUUUAAUAACUAUACUAUGAAAAUGUAGGAGAAGUUUAAGACUAAUAGGAACAAUGUCCCCAGUGUACUCUUAAAUAGAUGAGGGAGGGGAUGCGUGGAGGGAGAGAGGGAGAGAAUGAGAAAGGGAGAAUAAUAAAGUGAAUGAGACAAAAUGUGGUGAACUAUGGGUUGAUUUGCAUCUCCUAGAAUUUUAUAUAAACGUUAUUAUGUUGAAUGUACUCCUUUUUGCUGGCUUCUCUUGUACAUAAUUUCUUUGAGAGCCAUCCAUGUUGUAGCAGGCAUCCAAAUUCAUUCCUUUUCAUAGCUAAGUAGUAUUUCAUCUAACGGAUAAACCAGUUAGUCUAUUCAUUCCCCUGCUGUUGGACACUGGUUGUUUUCAGUUUUGGGCAGUCAGGAAUCAAGCAGCCAUGAUUUGUGUCCCAGUUCUUUGGGUGGGCAUUGCUUUUGUUUCAACAGAAUGCCUAGAUCAUAUAUAUGGUAGGUGUGUGUUAACUGUUUAAGAAAUUGCCCAACUAUUUUCCAAAGCAGCUGUACCCCCCAGUAGUGCACGAGGCUUCCUGUUUCUCCACAUUCUUUCCUUGGUAUGGACUGACUUGGUAUUGCUGGUCUUUUCCAUUAGAGCCCUUCCAGUGGACCUGUAGUGAUGUCUCCUUGUGGUUUUCACUUGCAUUUUCCUAGUGACCAGUGGUGUUGCUCUUAUCCCCCUGCCAUUCCCUCUCCUGCUUUUCUGGGGGCACUGCGACCUUCUGGGGCAAGACCUCAGGGACUUGCCCCUACAGCCCAGAGGUGAACAGUCACGUCCCGAACAGAAAGCAUGCAAGUGGAUGGGCCCAGGAUGAAGACUGGAGGGCCACAUAAGAGCCUGGGGUGCUUUCAGGCCAAGGUAUUUGUCCCAUGGCUCUGACGAGCAGAACCCACCCUUCAGAUGGGGCACCCACCUGCUCAGCAGCCCAUGCUCGAGCUUUUCCACAGGCAGUCAGUACACAGGAUACUUCAGGUCCUAACCCUCAGACGUGAUGUGUUUGCUCAACAACCCUUAAGUUCCUCCCCUGUGUUCAGUUCUGUGACCAGUAUAAGCCUUUGAUGGGUUUUGGUUAUUGGCAAUUAUCAGAGUAAAGUGAAAACUCUCAAGGAUAAUCUGCAAGGCCUUUCUUGAUCAAGUUCCUAAAUUUGGUCUUUCCUACCACAUCCUUCCACAUCCCUCCAGCCUACGCUCCACAUCUAACAAACACCCCAGUGUCCCAGACUUGCCAGCUCCUUCCUGCCUCCCUGCCUUAACCUUCCCUCCUGCUUCUCCCUCCCUUGGCCAGUGGAGACCUUCUCAGCCUGUCACAGCACCAAGCGUCCCUUGUGCCUCUCCUCAACCUCAAAGGAUGGUUUUUUCAGGACCAGCAUGGUCUCAACUGGAUCCAUGUACAGUUUAUGCGGGUCACGGGGAGUGGGGAGGGGCCUGUGAGCCGAAAGGCUGGAUGCUGUUACACACCCACUGCAGCACACAGAGGUUCCUCGUCAGCUGGGCCCGGCUGAAUUGAGUGCAUUUCUGCACCAUGCCUUCCCCCCCCUGAUCGUGGGGACUGGGAUGACUCCCCACCGCCACCACUCCCACAUGUGGCUCACAAGUCACUCCAAUUGCCGGAGGUGGCACCCGCCAUGUUCUGAAAAGCUAAGUGCCUUCGCCCCCUUCGCCACCCUUACCUGGAACAGCCAUUUUUGUUGUGUGAACACAUGGCCCGGGAACUUAAACACUAAAACCAGUUAGUUCCUCAGGGGGCGUCAUCUUAACCAUGCCAAACUCAACAAGAUAUAAACUGGUCCUAGAAGCCUUCUCUUCCUCCUUCCUUCAUUUUUUUUUUUUUUCUUUUUCUUGUUCCAGCAGCACUUAUCCAUCUGUGCUUCCACCACAGAGCUAUUCCCACUAGAAAUGCCGUGAAACCUUUCAAAUAAAAUAUUUAACGUGUGGAUCC
rnacentral:lncRNA from 1 species